rnacentral:sRNA from 1 species
GAACCUACAAGAUCAUCAAGACAUGAUGGGCCCGGGCGAAGAAGAAGAAGAGCAACUGUUCGACACGACGCCUGAAGGAUCCGAAGACGACGACUACGAUAUGGUGAUGUACGACGAGUCGUCGGCGGAUAGCUCGUUCUCGGUGCCCACCAGCACUGUGCCAUCAUCGGUCGCUGAAACCUAUGAGACGAUGGACACGGACGCCGGAUUUUCGACGGAUAGUGAAAUGGAACGGCUUGUCGAGUUGAGAUCAG